GUCUUACGGAUGGUUUAGUGGUUUUAGUGUUGGACUAGGACUCUGGAGACAAGGGUUCAAAUCCCAGCUGGACA